GAUAGAGGGUGCAAACGUUGUUCGGAAUUACUGGGCGUAAAGCGCGUGUAGGUGGCGAGGCAAGUCGGGUGUGAAAGCCCUGGGCUCAACCCAGGAAGUGCACUCGAUACUGCCUAGCUAGAGUCCCGGAGAGGUUGGUGGAACUCUCGGUGUAGAGGUGAAAUUCGUAGAUAUCGAGAAGAACACCGGUGGCGAAGGCGGCCAACUGGACGGUGACUGACGCUGAGACGCGAAAGCGUGGGGAGCGAACAGG
rnacentral:rRNA from 1 species